AUUGGUGCUUUAUUUAAUACAACAAAAAAUUGCUAUUAUUAUUAUGAUAAAAUUCCUAAAUAGCUCUGGUAAUUUUUUUACGAACUAAAAAAUUUCAAAAUUGGCCGAUCUUGUGUUCGGAAAUUUCGCGCGGGAUAUGUUGACCAAUAAAAAAAUUUCAAAAUCUAAGGGACAUAUAAAAUCAUCCAUGAACCAUCACUUCCACUAAAGGUUUCAAGUAACAACUCUAGAUCUAAAAUGUUGCUCUUUAAAAGUAUCAACAUCUCUAUCAGUAGAGAUUAGUGAUUGUGUUGGAUCCUUAAAAAUUAUGAAUGAACAUCUUGAAAUUAUCAUCAUCUCUUCAGCGACCAGAGAACUUUAAUGCUGCUACGAGAAAACUCCAGCGUCUCUACUAUCAAAGGCCAGCGAUCGACACGUGUCCGUACCAAGGGUAGGUGAUUAGUACAAGAGAGAAGACAGCGAAUGUAAGUGACUACUUAUAUCAUUA